rnacentral:rRNA from 1 species
CGAGCGGCGAACGGGUGAGUAACACGUGGGUGAUCUGCCUUGCACUUCGGGAUAAGCCUGGGAAACUGGGUCUAAUACCGGAUAUGACCUCCGGAUGCAUGUUCUGGGGUGGAAAGAUUUAUCGGUGCGAGAUGGGCCCGCGGCCUAUCAGCUUGUUGGUGAGGUAACGGCUCACCAAGGCGACGACGGGUAGCCGACCUGAGAGGGUGACCGGCCACACUGGGACUGAGACACGGCCCAGACUCCUACGGGAGGCAGCAGUGGGGAAUAUUGCACAAUGGGCGAAAGCCUGAUGCAGCGACGCCGCGUGCGGGAUGACGGCCUUCGGGUUGUAAACCGCUUUUGACAGGGACGAAGCGCAAGUGACUGUACCUGUAGAAUAAGGACCGGCCAACUACGUGCCAGCAGCCGCGGUAAUACGUAGGGUCCGAGCGUUGUCCGGAAUUACUGGGCGUAAAGAGCUUGUAGGCGGUUCGUCGCGUCGUUUGUGAAAACUUGGGGCUCAACCUUAAGCUUGCAGGCGAUACGGGCGGACUAGAGUACUUCAGGGGAGACUGGAAUUCCUGGUGUAGCGGUGAAAUGCGCAGAUAUCAGGAGGAACACCGGUGGCGAAGGCGGGUCUCUGGGAAGUAACUGACGCUGAGAAGCGAAAGCAUGGGUAGCAAACAGGAUUAGAUACCCUGGUAGUCCAUGCCGUAAACGGUGGGUACUAGGUGUGGGGCUCCUUCCACGGACUCCGUGCCGUAGCUAACGCAUUAAGUACCCCGCCUGGGGAGUACGGCCGCAAGGCUAAAACUCAAAGAAAUUGACGGGGGCCCGCACAAGCGGCGGAGCAUGUGGAUUAAUUCGAUGCAACGCGAAGAACCUUACCUGGGUUUGACAUACACCAGAAAGCCGUAGAGAUACGGCCCCCCUUGUGGUUGGUGUACAGGUGGUGCAUGGCUGUCGUCAGCUCGUGUCGUGAGAUGUUGGGUUAAGUCCCGCAACGAGCGCAACCCUUAUCUUAUGUUGCCAGCGCGUAAUGGCGGGGACUCGUGAGAGACUGCCGGGGUCAACUCGGAGGAAGGUGGGGACGACGUCAAGUCAUCAUGCCCCUUAUGUCCAGGGCUUCACACAUGCUACAAUGGCCGGUACAGAGGGCUGCGAUACCGUGAGGUGGAGCGAAUCCCUUAAAGCCGGUCUCAGUUCGGAUCGGGGUCUGCAACUCGACCCCGUGAAGUUGGAGUCGCUAGUAAUCGCAGAUC